rnacentral:lncRNA from 1 species
UUAUUAAAAUGCAGAACUUAUUCUGACUAAUCAAUUUCUGUUUCUCUUUGUGUGUGUGUGUGUGUGUGUGUGUGUGUGUGUGUGUGUACAAUUCCGUGAAAUUUUGUCACAUGCAUAGGUCUUUGUAACCACCACUACAGUCAGGACCCAGAAUGGCUCCAUCAGCCUAAAAACACUGCUCAUGCACACCCUUCUCACAGGCAAACUGUGGCUCCCUGCCCUUAUCUACAUCCCUAUAUAUAUUUUUUUCCAUUUAAAAAUUUUACAUAAGUCAAACAUGCAUUCUGUGUUUAUUUUUAAUUACUUUUUGAGAUUACUUUUUUCACUAUGAGGCCCAUGAUUCUCAUUCAAGGAAGUAUACACAUUUUUAGAUAUAUUAUGUGUUACCUGUAUCAUUAUCUUAGCCCAUUUUAUUGCUGUGUAGUAUUUCAUACAAAUCCAUAGAAUUUAUAGAAAUAAACCAUAAUUCAUAACUCUAUUCACCAUUUAGUGAACAUUUUGUUGUUUCCAAAUUGGGAAUGUGG